GAACUUUGUCGCGUAGAGUAAACCCUAACGUCCUCAGAAGUAUCCAGCUGCAAAUUUUGUCGCUUAGAAAUCACAGUCAACGUAUUGGAGUUAAGCAAAAGCUUAUUCUUAUCAGACUGGAAAGAUUUUGGGAUGGAUCCAGAGGCUGCAAAGACCGCACGAGAAUCUCUGGAUUUGGCAUUUCACAUGUCAAACAUUCUGGACACUGGGCUCGAUCGACACAUGCUUUCAGUACUCAUUGCCCUGUGUGACUUGGGCUUAAAUCCUGAGGCUUUGGCUGCUGUCGUGAAAGAACUCGGAAGAGAAGACUCUUGCUCUCCACCAACCCCUACUGCUCCUUCAUCUGCCCCUUAAACAGGUUUCUGGCAUUAACCAACAUCAGCUUUUUCUCUUCUUUCCUUGUCCAUAGUUGUGUAUGCUGAGAAUCUGUGAUUGGUAUCUUGGUGUUUUGAAGAUGUAAUUGGAAUUGUACUGUAGAUUUAUCAUUAUAAUUACAGUUAAAUUGUUGUGUUUUUAAUGUAUUGGAAUUGAAAAUCAAUGCAAGUGUGAAGAUGAUGUUUCUACACCAAGUUGGAUUCAUUAGCAACUAGUUAAUGUUAUUUUGCAGUCAAUUGCAAUGGAAAUCACAUUUUAUUUUAUUUUUUUUCUGAAAGGGGUUGAAUUCCUUUCCUUUUGUAUUGUUCUUGUUUCGAGGAAGUGAAAAUUUUGCUGAAAAUCAUACGUGC
rnacentral:misc_RNA from 1 species